rnacentral:rRNA from 1 species
CAGUAGCCGCGGUAAUACGUAGGUGGCAAGCGUUGUCCGGAAUUAUUGGGCGUAAAGGGCUCGCGGGCGGUUUCUUAAGUCUGAUGUGAACGCCCCCGGCUCAACCGGGGAGGGUCAUUGGAAACUGGGAAACUUGAGUGCAGAAGAGGAGAGUGGAAUUCCACGUGUAGCGGUGAAAUGCGUAGAGAUGUGGAGGAACACCAGUGGCGAAGGCGACACUCUGGUCUGUAACUGACGCUGAGGAGCGAAAGCGUGGGGAGCGAACAGGAUUAGAUACCCGAGUAGUCCCUGUCUCUUAUAA